rnacentral:rRNA from 1 species
AAGGUAGCAUAAUCAUUUGUCUUUUAAUUAGAGGCUGGAAUGAAAGGGGGGACGAUAGUUNAAGCUNUNUCUUAAAAUAAACUGGAAAUUAAUAUCUGUGUGAAAAAGCACAGCUUUUUAGGGGGACGAUAAGACCCUAUAAAACUUUAUUUAUAUUUGUGAUUCUUGAUUUUGAAGUUUGAGGAUCUUAAAUAAAAUUAAGCUGGGGCAGCAUCUAGAGAAUCCUAGAAAAUUCAACACCCCUGCGUGAAACAAAAGAUCUUAAGUAAAGAUAGAAAAGUUACUUUAGGGAUAACAGCACAAUUUUUUUGUAAAGACCACAUAGAGGGAAAAGACUUGUGACCUCGAUGUUGAAUUGAGGAGCCUUACUGAAGCAAAAAUUAGUAUAGGGGGUCUGUUCGACCUUUAAUACCUCA